rnacentral:rRNA from 1 species
UACAGAGGGGGCAAGCGUUGUUCGGAAUUACUGGGCGUAAAGGGCGCGUAGGCGGCCUGUUAAGUCGGACGUGAAAUCCCUCGGCUCAACCUCGGGUCUGCAGUCGAUACGAGCAAACUAGAGUGUUGCAGGGGAGACUGGAAUUCCUGGUGUAGCGGUGAAAUGCGCAGAUAUCAGGAGGAACACCGAUGGCGAAGGCAGGUCUCUGGGCAUUAACUGACGCUGAGGAGCGAAAGCAUGGGGAGCGAACAGG